AGACACCCCGGUCCCCAGCGACACUUGCUCUACCUGGGGGAUCCCCAUGGUGUUCCUGGGACAGAAAAGAUGCAUAAUCCCUCCAGCAAGUUUCAGGUCUAAUGCCUCUUCCCAGUGGAAUAUGCUCAAAACACCUCUGAAGUGAUCAUAAUAUGGAAGCAAACACAGUCCACGAGCUGCUAUCUUCCUUCAAGGAAACAUUUGAAUGAUCUUAUUGUGAAUUAGUGGAAGUACUGGAACUACAAAGAAAAACUGUCAUCAGGUUUCUUGGACUGAUUUAUACAACAGGAUGCUGAUUUGAUUUUUUUUCUAAAAACAAACAUGCAACCUAAUCAAAGAACAGA